rnacentral:rRNA from 1 species
CCGGUCUCAUUCCGAACCCGGAAGCUAAGCCCACCAGCGCCGAUGGUACUGCUCGGGAGACUGGGUGGGAGAGUAGGUCACCGCCGGCC